rnacentral:siRNA from 1 species
UUCAUACAUAUCUACAAACAC